ensembl:lncRNA
UGCAACCAGCCCUAAAUCAAAAAAGCUGACUUCUCCCAGGAGUUUAAAGCCCUGUCUCACACAUUAAAUUGUAAUUUGCAGGCAAGUCUGGGCUCAGAAAUCCUCCAAUAAAGCAGAUGAAUAAUCAACAUGAAUUGGAUAGAAAGAGUCUCUCUCUGCCUUUCACUUGCCCUUAUCACUUUGCACACAAACAGCACCCUGGAUGAUGUCUACAAGAUGAUAAGACCACAAAAGGAUUCAACUGGAUCAGAAAAUUUCAUUAUUCAGAAACAAGAUGGUCCAAAUUGGGUAGUUUGAGUAAGAAGGCAAACAGCUGACUGCAUAAAGGACCUGUGAGGUCACCAGUUCUGGAUUUUACCAGGCAACAGUAAUGGAGUGACCUAGAGGAUCUUCUCUCUAAUGUUAGCUCUCUGUGGAGACAGUCACUCAACCAAAUCCCCAACCGGAUUAAAGGUUGGUGUAGACCAUGGAUUUCUCUUGCAGUCAGACAAAGGCUAUUUUGAUUCCACCAUCUUAGAUCUCCUCCCAGAGCAGCAAUCUCUUAAAAGAGUCCUGAAGAAACUGGGAUUUAUGAUCUUGCAAGUCACAGACUUGGUCUUGGAAUCCCUGAUGGAGAAGCUUCCAACUCUUCCACAGAGUCAUCACCCUGGAGAACGGAGCCCAGAGCAGCUGGCAGCUGACAAAGGAACUCACUCCAUGGCCAAAAAUGGAGAACCAGCCAGUUUUCGACAGAACACUGGUUGUACCAAUACUAUGAGCCUCUUCUCCAUGAACUACUUCUAGAGCAUAGAGGCUAGACAUUAAGUAAAGUCUUCUGAUCAGUAAGAAUCACUGUAGAAUAGUGAAACAAGCAAGGCCUUUACAUGACACUGUGGUUUGAAUCCUACCUUCUCCAUUAGCAAUUUAUUUUUUGACAUGAUAGGCCUUUCGACUUUAUGAAUAACACAUUCUGGGGUUGAAACUUAGAGGUUAUUCCAAGGAUUAUUGGGAGAAAUAACUAAGUUAAUGUGGAAAUAUCCAAAACUGAAUGGGAACUCCAGAAAUCCAGUCAUCUCCACAGACUCACUUCCUCUGAUAGGCCCUCAAGUAAUGAAAUUCAAGACAGAUAAUGACCUAUUUUGUAAGAGAGCAAAUUAAAUUAUGAAAGGAUUCACGACGUGUUGUUGAAGUAACUGAGAAUGUCUGAGCAGGAGAGAAGAAGAUGAGUUAAAAGUAGCCAUUACUACUACCCAUCCUGGAAGAAAGUUUUCCCCCAAAUGCAGGACUAAGCAUAAUACCAGUGUGUCGAAGGCACAGAGAAGAGAGAGCAAUUCAGCAUUCUCAACAGGCAGAAUUUCCCAAAGGUACUGUGAUCAGAAAGUUCCCCUCUUACAAAGGAUUAACACAAGGCCCUACAACCUAGAACUCUGGACACCUCACCCACACCACACCCUGUGUACAUGAGGCUGCCUGGAAUUACACAGGCAUCAGAAGAAGCCAUAUUAGGCAGCUCUGGUACACACCCGAGCUAGGGAGCAAUUUGUUGAAAAUAUUCUAGAAGAGAGAGACUGUGUAUUGGUCCCUUCCAGUGUUGUCUAAACUUCUUUGGUCUUCAAGAAAGUCCCAGAGAACAGCUGAGACAUUGAAAAGCACUUGACGCUGACAUCGGACACUGAAAAGCAAAACCCCUCGAUUUGGGAGUCUCUAAUUCCAUUCUUCUCUUCAAGCCAAGCAGCUACACUGAGCUUGAUCCAUGAGAAAUCUCACCACUGUGGCUGAGCACAUGCUUCAGAGAGCACCUGAGCUGACAUCACUCCCCUGCCCUUUCUCAGAUUCUAUUUUCUUACUCGUCUAGGGACUGUGGGCCUGAUUGUUCUAAUCCAAAUGGAUGUCCAACACUAAACACAUUCUCUUCCCUUCUCUCUCUUUAACCCAACCCUCAAUUUCUCUGGGUUCCAUGGCCACUAACUAACCUCACAGAACUAAAGAGAAAUGGCGCAGUCAUAAGUGAGCAGUCACCUUCUCCCUCCUCCCAGUCCUCUGGGAGUCUCUGAAGUCUCUGUCCCCACUGACACUUUCACUCUGUAUGUAAAAUUAUACUUAAGAAUCUUAUUAAUGAG